rfam:Ornithorhynchus anatinus chromosome X2, whole genome shotgun sequence.
AGCAGCGUGGCUCAGUGGAAAGAGCACGGGCUUUGUCGUCAGAGGUCAUGGGUUCGAAUCCCGGCUCUGCCA